rnacentral:rRNA from 1 species
CCUACGGGUGGCAGCAGUGGGGAAUAUUGCACAAUGGGGGAAACCCUGAAGCAGCGACGCCGCGUGAGGGAUGAAGGUUUUCGGAUCGUAAACCUCUAUCAGCAGGGAAGAAAAUGACGGUAGCUAACGAAUAAGCACCGGCUAACUCCGUGCCAGCAGCCGCGGUAAUACGGAGGGGGCAAGCGUUAUUCGGAAUUACUGGGCGUAAAGGGCGCGUAGGCGGUAUCGCAAGUCAGGUGUGAAAUCCCAGGGCUUAACCAUGGAACUGCAUUUGAAACUGUUCGGCUAGAGUGUGGGAGAGGUAAGUGGAAUUCUUGGUGUAGCGGUGAAAUCCGUAGAGAUCAAGAGGAAUACUCAUUGCGAAGGCGACCUACUAGACCAUAACUGACGCUGAGGCGCGAAAGCGUGGGGAGCAAACAGGAUUAGAUACCCGAGUAGUC